CUUGAAUAUGUACACCAAUAAAUACAUUCCUUAGAUAAAGUUUAGGGCCUUCAUAUAUUGGAUACAUAAUUUACUAAGAGAGCUAUAUCACUUCAGACCAUUGGAUGAAGGUGGUGUUUUUGGAGAAUGAUUGGAGGCCAUGUAAAUGCACUUUAAUAAUUUUAAGAAAAAAAAUUGGAUUCAUGAUAGAAAUAUAUAUUGCAAGCUAUUUGAUAUCACAAAAUGUGUAAUUUACAAAUAAUGUGUAUUUUUAUUCAGAUUAUUGAUCAAAGAUUGGCCAGUCUGAGCAUCACAGGAGCUGUGAAGACUGUUCCUACUGCUGUUCUUGAAGUACUCUUGAGCAUUUCCCCUUUCAUUUGUGUGUUGAGACUAGUGCUAGGGAGGAUUUUUAUAGGCUCCAUUAUUGUUGUUAAAGGAUUUCUUGGACCCAAAAAGUGGAGCAUUCAUUUUUUGAAUGGGACAAAUCACACAGUCACAUUCUUGAAAUAGUUAACAAUUAUAUAGUGCCUAGAUUUAACUUCUGCAGAUCCUUGACUGUUGUUUUUCCAAGUGUGGAGAGAUGGAGAAGUGGAUUUGGGUGCAAUAUCAAGGGUGGAAUAGUGUGAUAUAUGAUCAUUCUGAAACCGCUAUUGUUGUAAGUGCAAGGAUUUAUUGAAAGGGAAUGAUAAUGUCAUAUUCUUAUUGCCUCUGUCAUUGUCUUUCAAGCAGAAAUCUAUGCUAUUUGUACAUAUGUUAAAAUCAGUCUUAAUAGGGGAUAUGUUAAUAAACAUAUUUAUAACCUAUGAGAUAAUCAAGCUGCC
rnacentral:lncRNA from 1 species